CCCGCUCCUUGCCCGACUCAAUCUCGAAGGUCCUAGGCAAAGAGUUACCCCGCUCCUCGCCCGACUCAAUCUCGCUCUACUAGGUACGAGCUGCUACAUAGUAAUGGAAUAUACACAUGCUACUAUGCCUCUGUAAUCAUGGAAUGCAUGAACAUAGCAAUGAUAUUCUACUAAUCAUGAUACUAUGCUUCAACAAUAAUAGAAAUGAGCUACUACAUAGUGAUGUAUCUACAACAUGCUACUAUGUCUCAAUGUCAACUCAAGGUAUGAAUGCAAAUCUGCUAUGCCAUUCAUAUUCUUUACCCAAUCUGCUUGGAAAUGAGCUACUACAUAGUGAUGUAUCUGCACAUGCUACUAUGCCUCAAUAAUCCGAAUGAACGAGCUACUACAUAGUGCGUCGUGCAACUAUGCCUCGAUAGUAUCCAAUCUCAUGGCUAACCCGAAGGUUGCCACCCCGGGGUCAACCCCGACUCACUCUCAAUCUCAUAGGUGAGGAGAAUCUGCACUCGCACACCGAGACCGUCUGCGGGACAACUACGUCUGCCCCUAGUGAAGUACUCCGGAGACUCGUGCUUCGGUGGAGCGACCACCGACAAGCAAAAACAGACUAGUGAGUAUGAUCCAAUCCUCACAAGAGGAUACCCUAUCUACCAGGGUCAAUGUGCCUCUGCUGCACAAUACCAAAUGCAUAAUCAAUGCCUCAAAUGCACUAAUGCCAAAUGCAUAAUGUCUACAACAUGACAAUCGGGAAAAUCUACUAUCCCUAGGUUCAAAUGCCAUAGUGUUUCACUACACUAGAUUUGAUGCCACUCGUUUAUGUCAUGAUGUUAUAUGUGUCUUAAUACACUAAAUCGACAUGCCACUCGUCAAUAUUAUAGUGUCUUUAUUACACUAGUCCAAACGCCACUCGUCUAGGCCAAUUACAUGUCCAAGUUCAUCAUCAUUCUUGUCACUAUAGGAUUCUUGUCGCAAGACCCAAUCCUCAUGCAACCUAAGAUCAAGUGUCAAGCCCACAAUGCUACACAACCUAGGUAACAUGCAAGGAAUGGAAAUGUAAUCAUCUACUAAUCCUAUAAUGCAUAAUAUAUCAACAUAUAGGAAUACGAUCAACAUAUAGAACUUAGACAUAAAAGGAAGCUCAGUUGCUUCGGGAUGGACACCCCCCACCUUUUAAUGCUACCAAGAGGCUAGGGUUCCGAUUUCGUGAUUUUUGAAAGCUUUUGCCGCGAGCUGCGGCAAUCUAUACCUUAACGGCUUCGUUCUUUAAUAUCUUCACGUAGCCUCGUCGUAUCGCCGAACCGACUUCGCCAACGCGUCAGAAAACCUAGCAAUUAGGUUUAUACAUGAUCAAUUUAGAUCAAAACCCCUCACAAGCAAAACCCCUCUUUUGAUGCCCUAAGAUGCAACUAUGCAAGAAUUCAUCAUUUGAUCUCUAAAUUCGAGCAUCAACCAUCUAUUUAGCAUCCAGGAGUUUCACUAAACCCAUUUCUAAGGCAUACAAAUCACUACUUAGCAAUCUAUCAUUGUUGCUAUCAAAGCUUACCUCUCAAACCCAAGCUCUCUUCAAGCCAAUGGUGAAGAAAAGAAAGCUUCACCUCUAAGCAAGCUUUUUCUUCUCCAAAUCCACCUCCAACUCCUCUCUUUGGUGGAGAAAUUGCUAGAGAGAGAGAGAGAGAUCUUUCUCUUUGGUUGCAAGUGUGAGGGAAUGAGAGAAAAGGCUCAAUCCUUCAUAUAUAUAUGUAUAUAGGAAACUUGACCUCCAAGUUUCAUAGGAAACUUGACCUCCAAGUUAUCCAAGAACACUAUUCACAUUCAGUUUAGCAGCACGGUACAAAUUUUUUUCAUCUGCCCUUCUGAACGUCCGUUUGAGCUCAAAUUUGGCAGUCAUGCUCGGUUUUAUUUAACUUACUGAAAGAAAUUUUAAUCUUUCAGUUUCGACCCCGUUUGGUCACCGAAAACUCUACCGAACUGUAAUCUUUAUCAGAUAACUGUCGGAUUUUAUUUUCUACCUUCUAGGUGUCAGAAUGGGCUGAAACUUUAAAUCUAGUCUCACAAAAAUAAUUCUGACUUAUCCUCCAGUUUUCAAAAUUUUCUGACACUGUGCAUUUUCUGCCAAUUUAUCUGCCCCGUUUCACACAGAAAAUUCUAAAUAUUCUGUUUUCGCUUUGAUUUCAGCACGGAUCAUUCCAGACUUAUAUUUCACUUCUCUAAAUCCUAUAAAAAUAGUAUCUCAUACUAUUUUUAUUUAUUUUCACUUUUAUAUUUAAAAUUCGGUAUGUUACAUUCCACCGCAAUCUCACCGGAACCAUUUAAAUGUACAUCGUAACUUCAUAGUUUUAGAAGUCAGGUACCUUACAUCCUCCCCUCCUUAAAAAGAGUUUCGUCCUCGAAACUCAAAUCUCAUCUAAAUUCGAGUUUUCGAGCAUCUGGGGGUAAUAAUGCACUUUUGCACUCCGGAGUAGUCUUUUUCUCAUCGGAACUAUCCAAAGGCCCACUACAGAGGAUGUGAGGCUAGAUUCACUCACAUUUGCUAAACGUAACUUCGAAAGUGCAUUACGGGCCUCCGUCAUUCUUGGUGGUAGCGCAAAUCGAAACUCAACGACUCUGUGCGCUCCAACACCAUUCAUCAUCUGACAUGCAAGGACUCUUCUUUGCAUUUACCUUCCCCCUUCAGGACAUUCCGACUCGAUCACAAACAUUGCUCAACAGCAAUAUGAUUGGUGUAUCACCCAAUCACGAGUGUUCUAACCACAUUCGGACCUUGCUCUACCGCGAGACGGCCUACCCCGGCAUAUCUCGACUCUUAAUCCACAAGAGAGCAUUGUCCACAAUUCCAUGUGGCUAUCCUGUAUUCAAGUGUCUCCAAGAGACCACUUUUCCUUACCUCUCAAUUGCCACUUCUAACCUUAAAUCGCUCUACUACGAGAUAGCCUACCCCGGCACAUCUCGAUUUCCAACCCUCAAGAGAGCACUAUCUUCAAGUUCUCCAACUUCUCCAACAUGACCCAGCCCGCCUUGGCAAAUUUCAGACUCGGGGACCGGUCUUGCCCUACCUGGGACCGGUUGCCCCGCGCUGCGCAACCCUCCGCCUCGGGGCAACUGGUCCCUCCCUCCUAGGACCGGUCCCCGAGAGCAAGCUCGCGCAGACCAUGUUCGGGAACCAGUCCCUCCCGCCAGGGACCGAUCCCCGAGAGCAAAUCUGCCAAGUGCAAAUUCUUGCACCAUUUGCUCUCGCGGACUCCAUUGUAAUGCACUUUUGGUGCAUUCAACGUCUUCGGCUUUUACGAAGCACUCCCAUUUGACAAUUAGUCGAUCUUGAGCGAAGUUCAACUCUCGUAUUUCGAAAAUUCACUUCCUUGCUCCCAACUCCUCCACAGAGUUAUCGGCUAAACCGAUUACGUCAGCUUUCACAGGUGGACCAACGGUCGUAAUACCACGUCGGCAUACUCCUAAACCUGUCGUAACUACGCACAGCGUCUCUCGCUCACAUCGUAGAUCCAAUCAUAACCGGGUGAACUUCUCACUUGGGAAUUCGCACGCACUCCAAACCACGUCAAGUUCUCGGGUUGGGGUCACAUUCAAACUUGGUGUAUCCUCGAUCACAUGAUCCAAUGCGUGGCAUUCCACGCUCCCGGGUCUAAGCUCGGACUACCGUCCUGACCAAAACUCUGCCCUACCCAUAGGUACCGGGCCGCUGCCACUCGCAGCCGACUGUGCCUACCCAAUGGGCCCAGGCUUCACAAUCCACAAAUGGUCCAGGCACGGGUUGUCCCCAAGCACUACACGCCGUCGUCGUCCUACAUGACAUGUUCUACCGAGCCACAUAUACUACUGUCGGCUCCUACUCGGCUACUCUCUCAACAGUGAUUCUACUCUCACUGUUCGAUCUACCGAAAUAAUAUUCGAGAUGCUCAAGCCACUCGGGUAUUCGCAUGUCACUGCGCAACUCUCGCAAUUCGAUACUCACUGCCUUGAGAGUCGCUUCACCGUUUCGUCUGUACCACGAGUCUCACUUAUCGCCCAACAAUCAUCACCGGCAAGUUGCUAGUGCCAUCCAACUCUCUACCUGCUGCCGGCAGAACUCCAGCCAACUGCCUCGGAGCCACUGGGGCGAAUGUAACAAACAGUGCAGGCGACGCUCCCUCUGGGCAGUAACGGCUUAUAUGCCCUGCCCGACCACACCUGAAGCACCGUUCCGCCUUAUGCUCACAAUUUCCUGCGCGAUGCUCUCCACCGCAGAUCACACAUCGCUUAGGUCCAUAGCCAUCGGACCACCUCACCCGAUACUUCGGGGGCUUCUGGGAACUAAACUGUCCCCCCGAACUACCGCCAGGUCGUUUCUUUCCCUUAUCCUCUUCGAACGCCUUGCGCUCGCAUUCGACCUCCUCAGCCAUCGCAUCGAGAAUCGCAGAACCCGAAGCCGCCAGAGGUACACCAACCGACGAGGAAUGUACCGCCACCGGAACCGCUGCCAGGCCCUCACCCUCAGCCGCAUCAAGCGCGCGAAUCGAGGGCGCGGGCGGACCACGACCUUCAAUUGCCGUCGCGGCCAUCGCCGCUACCAGCCGCUCCAAACGCUCCUGGAGCCGCUCGAUCAAACUCCCUUGGCGUUGAACCACGCCAAUUAGUGCAGUCAUCUGCGCCCGCAGUUCCUGGACCUCACUUGAUCCAGCUUGUUCUGGCACCUCAGCAGGCUGUGCCGGAACGGAUCUACGCACGUAGUGUCUCAUUGGUGCCAUUAGCUCCUGAAACACUACAACUUGGUUAAUCACCUUAACCCAUUAAUCUCGUCGCAACUACUAGACAACGCGACUCAACUCCACCAUAAGCAGACGUACACCAUUGUAUUAGUCCUAACUCUUAGCGUCAUGUUGUCGGCCGCCAACACAAACUCCUCGAGCUCGGAACUAACACCGCUCGGAUCUAUCUCUAGUCACAUUAGAGAUCUAUACUCGAUCCGACCCAAUCGAAUUCUUCCUCAAUCGAUUCAGGUUUACGUUUCUCUCACGUACCUAUACAAUCCUAGGGUUCACCAUCCUAAGGUCUCUUAGGUCCAUCCUAGACUCUCUCUUUACUUGCUGUUAAUUGCUCUGAUACCAACACUAUCUGUCACGCCCCGCCCCGAAUCCAAUACCAAUUUGACACGGUUUGGGCACGCCGGACGGACCGCCGAACGGACAGCACCUUUCCUGUCCACCCAAGGCUAAGUAACCAGAUCAUGUACAGUUAAGCGCCCAGGGAAUGCUUAAAUAACAGACAUGAUCGAUACGAUGCACACAAGUGCACAAUAACUAAGAGCAAGAACCACAAGUGAAUGUACAAGUGUAUAAAGAGAGAUAGUCUAACUAUCACAAUCAUUCAACAUUUACAUCAUUUGAAUAUAUUACAUUUUCAUCUUCCAAAAUAUAAGUACAUGUUUUCUUCAAAAUACAAGUUGCCUUCCCAUAACUAACCAAACAUCAACUAGUACACGAGGGUGCUCUAAUGCAUAAAGGAAAAGCUACUAACUAGGCUCACUUAGGGCGCUAUGCCGUUGCCGCUCUCCUCGCUUGGCUCGCCUCUGCGUGUACCUGUACCCCAAAACCACAUGGGGUGAGAACUAUAUAAAUAUAGUUCCCAGUGGGUUCAGCCGCCGACGCCGCCGGUUUUCCCACUAGGUCCAAGCUGGCACAGAUAGAUAGAUAGAAAGGUAGAUAGAAAUAAACUGCUACUAUAUCUACUAUGCCAUCAAAUGCAAGGAAUGCAUGGAACAUCAUUUAGCAAUAACCUACUAUCAUGCUAAUAUGCUUCAAUAAUGUAAUAAAUACAACUGCAACAUAGUUAUGCUGUCUACUAUGUCUAAUCAUGGCAUGAAUGCAAUCCACUUAUACUAUUCAUGUUUCAACCCAAUCGACUAGGCCAACUUGCCUAAGAUCUCAAAUCUCAAAGGUCCUAGAAAAAGAGCUACCCCGCUCCUUGCCCGACUCAAUCUCGAAGGUCCUAGGCAAAGAGUUACCCCGCUCCUCGCCCGACUCAGUCUCGCUCUACUAGGUACGAACUGCUACAUAGUAAUGGAAUAUACACAUGCUACUAUGCCUCUGUAAUCAUGGAAUGCAUGAACAUAGGAAUGAUAUUCUACUAAUCAUGAUACUAUUCUUAAACAAUAAUGGAAAUGAGCUACUACAUCGUGAUGUAUCUACAACAUGCAAUGUCAACUCAAGGUAUGAAUGCAAAUCUGCUAUGCCAUUCAUAUUCUUUACCAAAUCUGCUUGGAAAUGAGCUACUACAUAGUGAUGUAUCUGCACAUGCUACUAUGCCUCAAUAAUCCGAAUGAACGAGCUACUACAUAGUGCGUCGUGCAACUAUGCCUCGAUAGUAUCCAAUCUCAUGGCUAACCC
rnacentral:lncRNA from 1 species